GAGCACUAAGCUGCCUAAGCUCGCAAGUUCAGAAGUUCGGUAUUGUGGUAGACAUACGUAAUUCUCCAAGUGGAAGUCGUUGUACUUCUUAUUACCGGUGCGAUUGUCCACCAUUGCCUUAUGCCAGAGCGCCAGAACUUUGGUGUUGCUUUUUCGUCGUCACAGUCUACCAUUACGGCGAGCGCAAGGAGCUACCAAAAGUUUGACAGUCAUCACCGAGACAAGGCAGGUGCCUGCUGACACGUUGCACAUAGAGAAUCUCGGAUAGACAUAGUCCUCCCAAUUUUGUCGCCUUCAUUCGGGUCGACGUGACCCUAUGCUC